rnacentral:rRNA from 1 species
ACGCUCGACACCUACGGGAGACAGCAGUAGGGAAUCUUCCACAAUGGACGCAAGUCUGAUGGAGCAACGCCGCGUGAGUGAAGAAGGUUUUCGGAUCGUAAAGCUCUGUUGUUGGUGAAGAAGGAUAGAGGUAGUAACUGGCCUUUAUUUGACGGUAAUCAACCAGAAAGUCACGGCUAACUACGUGCCAGCAGCCCCGGUAAUCUGAGCGGGCUGGCAAGGC